UACGUAGGGUGCAAGCGUUAAUCGGAAUUACUGGGCGUAAAGCGUGCGCAGGCGGUUAUGUAAGACAGAUUUGAAAUCCCCGGGCUCAACCUGGGAACUGCAUUUGUGACUGCAUAGCUAGAGUACGGUAGAGGGGGAUGGAAUUCCGCGUGUAGCAGUGAAAUGCGUAGAUAUGCGGAGGAACACCGAUGGCGAAGGCAAUCCCCUGGGCCUGCACUGACGCUCAUGCACGAAAGCGUGGGGAGCAAACAGG
rnacentral:rRNA from 1 species